UCACUCGUACUGUUUAUUGCUUAUUUUCUUAAAAAGUCUAUAUAAAUUGAGGAAGCUCCUGACAAGUAGUUGGUAGUGUUGCUCCUUUUCCGAACUGACUGAGAAGGAUGACACAUUCCGUCUUACUUUUUAGGAGUCUGUGUAACUUGGACAAGCACUUGGCUUUAAGAGAUGGUUCAGUACUGAAAACGCAUUUGCAGUCAUCCUGGAUUUGCUCAGCUUGAAAUUAAAGAUUGUGAUCGGGCUGACGGGGGGCGGGGGGGCAGUCCGAUGAGCGUCCAGCUCUUGAUUUCGGCUCAGGUCAUGAUGUCAGGGUCAUGAGAUCGAGCCUCCUGUUGCUCAGUGGCUCCACGCUCAGUGGGGAGUGUCCUUGGGGUUCUCCCUCUCCUCUGCCCCUCCCCCUGCUGCUCAAGCACACGGGUGUGCACUCCCUCCAGCGCAGGCCUGGAGAGAGAGAGUCAAGGCUAUCCUGGGGUAGGUGGGAUGCUUCGGGGCUGAGGGCGUGGGAAGCGCGAGGGCGGGUCUGAAGUGUGUGUGCCUCCCAAGUACCUGUCAGCCAAGAGCUGCUCUGUUCUGUUCUCUCAUUUUCUCAGCCUAACCCCUGGAGAUUCUGAUUUGAUGGAUUCUGAUAGGCUCCAGGAAUCUGUAUGGAAUCCCGGAGGACCGUGAUGGCAGCCAUGCCACCUUUCCUAGAUGGGGAGUCACUGAGCCCGAUGAUGUCGAGUGCCCUGGGCGGGCAUCGGAAGACGGUGUGGAGCGGUGACAGGUGGCUGUCCCCAGACUUAACCCUAGAGAACAAGCGAUAUGCGAAACUACCUGUGCGCCGUGACCGCGGCACCAGCUGGUUCGCGGGCGGGAAGAUGUGCUGAAACUAGCGACGUCCACCUGUAGACGGACGCUUUCCGGUUUCUAUGAACUUGUACUUUAUUUUCCGUGUUCUCUACAGUGACCCUGUGUGACGCAUCAGGGAAAAAAUGCACAGAAGACUAGAAGACAGAGGUUGGGAAGGUUCUGGAAUCCUGACUAAUUUUGCUUCCUUUUCUCUAUUUUCCAAUUUUUGUAUAAUAUGCUUAUUACUUUGUCGUUUAAAAAAGUUUUUUAGUUCCUUCACUGAAACCUUUAAAGAGUAGGGGCUUCCUUCUUGCUUCCAGAAAGGAAGCACGUACACGCAGGGAGGGCAAUCUCUACAGGACAGAAGUAGGAAAAGUGCAUCGUUCCAGACUUCAGGGCAUGCAGGGGGUCCUUAGAACACCCCGGGACUUGACCCCUGCGGGGUGCAUUAGCCUGCAUUCCUUCUGUUUCGAGCAUUUCUGUCUGUGAUGGCAUAUUUACUAGUGGGAUUAUCUGAUUGUAGCAGGUCCUCUGCUGUGCACCUCGGGGGUCAAUGUUGUGCCCCCAGCACCCGGCAUACGGUACGCAAAUCUUUGUUAGGAAUAAAUGAAUGAGAGAAGAGAAUCA
rnacentral:lncRNA from 1 species